GAAGACCUGCUCAGUCCUCCCCAGGACACAAGCACAGGGUUAGAGGAAGUGAUGGAACAACUCAACAACUCCUUCCCUAGUUCCAGAGGAAGAAAUACCCCUGGGAAGCCAAUGAGAGAGGACACAAUGUAGGAAGCCUCUUCCACUUGGCAGAUGAUUUGGGCAGAGCGAUGGAGUCCUUAGUUUCAGUCAUGACAGAUGAAGAAGGGGCAGAAUAAAUGUUUUACAACUCCUGA